CUCUCAAAAAUAAAUAGCCAUUAAAAAAAAUUUUUUUGAAGCAGAGUUCUAGUUCCCUACACAUCCACUUGCUGAGAAGCCAAGUAAGCAAGCGCUAAAUGACUCUAACGUUCCCUCCGGCGUUUCCAAGUGGAUCCCUAAUACCUUGUACAAUCGUUAACUAAUUAAUAGAAGUGGAAGGUUCAGAACUUGGGAGAAGGACUUAAUGAAAAUUGUUUUGAAUGGUAACUAAUUAUUGAUAAGCCAAGGGAAUCCGAUCUAAUUAGCAUGAACCUCUUCCUGAGAAAUCGGGUGUUGGGGUUUAGAACCAGUUUGAGGAGGGCUAGCUUUCCAAGGGAAAAUCAUCUCAAAGUGCAUUUUGAUGAAAAUUUCUGUUUUUGUUUUGCAGCCUUUAAAAAAAAUCAUCAUCAUCAUCAUCAUCAUCAUCAUCAUCAUCAGAUUUAGAAUCUGAAUGAAGGGAUUAAUGGCGUCCGGAGGCAAGGUGAUUUCCGAGACUUCGAGACUUCGGUCUUUGGUUGGAGUACCGCCGGCAGCUGAGCCAUCCCGACACCCCACUGCUCUCAGUAACGAGAAGCCACUAUUUGCCUUCUCGUCGCCCCGCCAGGAAGAAGCCUACCAGGUAUCCUAGAACCCAUCCCAGACAGCCGAUGGAAGAUUUGGCUCCCCCUCUCUCCAAGCUUUUGGAAAAUAAUCGUAGCACUGCAGAAAAUGAGUGGCUCCUUUUUGAGAUGGAUUGAGAAGAAGCCUUGCUGAGGUUUAAUCGCAUAAACGGAGGCACGGCUUUCCCGCGCUCUCUCAACCGAUGGAAACAAAGAUGCUAAGUGUGAGGCUCUGUGUUCACGUAUGCUUGAUUUUGUAUAAACCCUGCCUAUCACAUUGGGUACCUACCCAUGGACAGUGAAUGAGGAAGAAGAUGCCUCCGACUUGGGGCAGCUCAGGAGAUCACCAGGCAGAGACCAGCAAUUAUCAGGUCUCUGCACGGGGCGUCUAGAAGACAGGCAAAUUCACGCAGCCCGGCCAAAGGGUGCGGAUUUACGCACUGGCCUUUUCAGCUGGUCUUCAAAACUGAUUAGACGUUUGAAAAUGACACUCCUCCACAUUUCGUUUGUUCCUGAUAAUUCUCACUCCUUGAACCGUCCAGGCAGCUCAACAGAGAAGGGUAGAGAAGGUGAAGAAAACCACUAUCAUCCGUAGAUGCACGCUGUUCCCCUGCACAGGCGGAAGGGGAGAGAAGGGCAGAGCCACGCGGAUUAAAUAGGCUGUCUUAUGCUGGGUCUCACCAGGCUUGAUGUUUUCGGCUUACAUCUGCAAUACCCCGAAUACAGCAGAUCCCCCCUUAUCCACCGAGGAUACGUUUUAGGACCCCGAGUGGGUGCCUGAAAUGGUGGCGAGCAAAAUCACAGAGAGAAGACAGACUUCUUCAUUAUGUGCAGAAUAACACUUUAAUGGACUUUUUCUUUAUGAAACUCCUAAAUCCCAGAUCAUCUUCUGGAAUAAAGAAUCUAAAUGUUUUCCAUAAUUAAAAUGUCUUCACUGAGGGCAGAAUUGCAAAUCUCAGAUGAUUUCCUUCUAGAAACAACUUUUUUCCGCCCUUCUGUGGAAGCCUCAGAAAAGACCCAUUUGGACUCCAAGUUGGGAAGACAUGGCCCUUUGGAAGCUGGGUUGGCCUUUUCAUCAUGACCAUGGGAUAGGGCCUACGGAGAACGGUGUCCAAUGGAAACCCGAGGAAGUCUUGGUGCAUUGGCUCCAAGAGCAGCCGAAGCUUCUGUUAUCCCCACGCUUUCACCAAAACCUUGUUAAUUAUUAUAAUCUAUAUUUAGCAUUAAGGGAUGGUCCAGGGUUCAAGCUUGAGCAGAGCAGUUCUGGAAACAACAGAAACCCCGGAAAAGCCAGAGUCCAGUCCAUGCGGGUGACUGGACGUGGGCCGGAGGAGCAGACAAGAGCCAGACGGUGUCAUUUGGGGCGUCAUAGAAUACAGGCCUUGGACCACUGUCUUCAAGGUGUUACUGAGCAUGUGACUCAUGUAGGCUAGAGGGGUCUGGGGCACUUGGGUGUCAGGCAAAUUUACUUAGCAAUUCCUUAUGCUUUUAUAUGCAUGGCAUCCCACCCUG